rnacentral:rRNA from 1 species
CAAUAGCGUAUAUUAAAGUUGUUGCGGUUAAAAAGCUCGUAGUUGGAUUUCUGCCGAGGACGACCGGUCCGCCCUCCGGGUGAGUAUCUGGUUUGGCCUGGGCAUCUUCUUGGAGAACGUAGCUGCACUUGACUGUGUGGUGCGGUGUCCAGGACUUUUACUUUGAGGAAAUUAGAGUGUUUCAAGCAGGCACACGCCUUGAAUACAUUAGCAUGGAAUAAUAAGAUAGGACCUCGGUUCUAUUUUGUUGGUUUCUAGAGCUGAGGUAAUGAUUAAUAGGGAUAGUUGGGGGCAUUCGUAUUUAACUGUCAGAGGUGAAAUUCUUGGAUUUGUUAAAGACAGACUACUGCGAAAGCAUUUGCCAAGGAUGUUUUCAUUGA